rnacentral:rRNA from 1 species
GGGAGUCAGACUAUACGAGAUAAGUUGGAUAGUCAAAAGGGAAAGAGCCCAGACCCGCAGCUAAGGUCCCAAAGUGCAUGUUAAGUGGAAAAGGAUGUGGGAUCUCUAAGACAACUAGGAUGUUGGCUCAGAAGCAGCCAUUCAUUCAAAGAGUGCGUAACAGCUCACUAGUCGAGAGGUCCUGCGCCGAAAAUGUCCGGGGCUAAAACAUGCCACCGAAGCUUGGGAAUGACAUAGUCAUUGGUAGAGGAGCAUUCUUAACGCGAAGAAGCAGUACCGGAAGGAGCUGUGGAGUGCUAAGAAGAGAGAAUGCCGGAAUGAGUAGCGAGAACAAGGUGAGAAUCCUUGUGGCCGAAUAUCCAAGGUCUCCAGGGUAAAGCUGAUCUGCCCUGGGAAAGUCGGGACCUAAGGUGAGGCUGAAAAGCGUAGCCGAUGGACAACAGGUUGAUAUUCCUGUACCGCAUGGUAACAGAACUGUGGGGACACGGGAGGGAAACAUGGGCCGGAAAUGGAAAGUCCGGUACAAACGGGGUAGUCGCACAGCAGGCAAAUCCGCUGUGCAUGAGACGAAGCCGUGAUGUGGAGCGAACUAAAGUAGUGAAGCAUGUGCCCCCUCCUGUCGAGAAAAGCCGCUAUUGUUUGCCAUGCGCCCGUACCGUAAACCGACACAGGUGGAUGAGGAGAGAAUCCUAAGGCCGGCGGGAGAAGCAUUGUCAAGGAACUCGGCAAAAUGACCCCGUAACUUCGGGAGAAGGGGUGCCUGCGAGAGCAGGCCGCAGAGAAUAGGCUCAAGCAACUGUUUAGCAAAAACACAGGUCUAUGCGAAACCGUAAGGUGAUGUAUAUGGGCUGACGCCUGCCCGGUGCUGGAAGGUUAAGAGGAGAGGUUAGCGCAAGCGAAGCUUUGAAUCCAAGCCCCAGUAAACGGCGGCCGUAACUAUAACGGUCCUAAGGUAGCGAAAUUCCUUGUCGGGUAAGUUCCGACCCGCACGAAAGGCGUAAUGAUUUGAGCGCUGUCUCGACAAUGCACCCGGUGAAAUUGAAGUACCAGUGAAGAUGCUGGUUACCCGCGCCAGGACGGAAAGACCCCAUGGAGCUUUACUCCAGUUUGGUACUGGAGCUUGGUAUUGCAUGUACAGGAUAGGUGGGAGCUUAUGAACCUGGGACGCCAGUCUCAGGGGAGGCGCUGUUGGGAUACCACCCUUGCAAUAUCGGGUUUCUAACCAGCCGCCGUGAUCCGGCGGUGGGACAAUGCCAGGCGGGGAGUUUGACUGGGGCGGUCGCCUCCGAAAGGGUAUCGGAGGCGCUCAAAGGUUCCCUCAGAAUGGUUGGAAACCAUUCGAAGAGUGCAAAGGCAGAAGGGAGCUUGACUGCGACACCGACGG